rnacentral:rRNA from 1 species
GUGGAUUAGAUACCCUGGUAGUCCACGCCGUAAACUAUGAUUACUCGAUGUGUGCGAUACACUGUACGCGUCCAAGCGAAAGCGUUAAGUAAUCCACCUGGGGAGUACGAUCGCAAGAUUGAAACUCAAAGGAAUUGACGGGGGCCCGCACAAGCGGAGGAGCAUGUGGUUUAAUUCGAUGAUACGCGAGGAACCUUACCUGGGCUUGAAAGUUAGUGAAUGAUCUGGAAACAGGUCAGACCGCAAGGACACGAAACUAGGUGCUGCACGGCCGUCGACAGCU